GACGAACGCUGGCGGCGUGCCUAAUACAUGCAAGUAGAACGCAGUUGCGAACGGGUGAGUAACGCGUAGGUAACUGCCUCAUAGCGGGGGAUAACUAUUGGACACGAUAGCUAAUACCGCCUCCUGUGUGCUUGACCUCCUUUGUAUUAGCUAGUUGGUUAGGUAAAGGCUCACCAAGGCGACGAUACAUAGCCGACCUGAGAGGGUGAUCGGCCACACUGGGACUGAGACACGGCCCAGACUCCUACGGGAGGCAGCAGUAGGGAAUCUUCGGCAAUGGACGGAAGUCUGACCGAGCAACGCCGCGUGAGUGAAGAAGGUUUUCGGAUCGUAAAGCUCUGUUGUUAGAGAAGCGGAAAGUAAAGAGAAAGGGACGGCUAACUACGUGCCAGCAGCCGCGGUAAUAG
rnacentral:rRNA from 1 species